rnacentral:rRNA from 1 species
AUUGACUAUACAAGGUAUUGUAAUAAGACUUUAAUUGAGUGCUAAAAGAAUGGAAUUUCAAAAAAAGGCUAUCUUGAAUUUCAAAAUUGAAAUUAUUUUUAUUUGUGAAGAAACAAUAAUUAAGAUUAAGGACAAGAAGACCCUAAGAAUUUUUAAAUUUAUAAAAAAGUACUUUUUUUAUAAAUUUUUAAUUGGGGCGAUUAAAAAAUAUUAUUAACUUUUAAUUACAAAAAAUGAUCCAUUAUUAAUGAUAAAAUGCAAAAAAUACUCUAGGGAUAACAGCGUAAUAAUUUUAGAUAGAUCUUAUAGAAAAAAUAGUUUGCGACCUCGAUGUUGGAUUAGGAUUCUUUUUUAAUGAAGAAGUUAAAAAAAGAAGUUUGUUCAACUUUUAAAAUCCUACUUGAUCUGGUCCAGACCGGA